UGAGCCGAGAUCGCGUCGCCACUGCACUCCAGCCUGGGUGACAAGAGCAAGACUCUGUCUCAAAAACAAACAAAUAAAGUAGGAUCCAUAAAAACCUCCUGGUUAUAGCAGAACUGUUACUUAACAAAAGUAAAAACACAAUAUCCUAAAUCUUUCGUUUUUCCUGUUUCUGAAUCGUAAAGUUUCUAGAGAACCAGUUUAACCCAUCCUAGAUUACACACUUCCCUAUUAACUCAAUUAGCCCCGAGUGGAGUAACUUCUGUGUGCUUGAGUGAACCAUUUAGGGGGAGCAUUUUUCUAGUGGACACACUUUAUGUGAAGAUUUUGGUUGUUAAUAAAAUAAAGAACUUGGAGA
rnacentral:lncRNA from 10 species